CCGGCGGGGCGCCCGCCUCGUCGGCCUGACACCGGUACCUGACACGGCCGGUGCAG
ncrna:Streptomyces xiaopingdaonensis L17-Actino-Proteobacteria ribosomal protein leader